UGUGCCCUCAAAAUACCCAUGAAAGGAGUUACAGAGACAAAGUUUGGAGCUAAGACAAAAGGAUGGACUAUCCAGAGACUACCCCACCUGGAGAUUCAUCCCAUAAUUAGCCACCAAACCCAGACACUAUUGCAUAUGCCAGCAAGAUUUUGCUGAAGGGAUCCUGAUAUAGCUGUUUCCUAUAAGGCUAUGCCAGUGCCUGGCAAAUACAGAAGUGGAUGAUCACAGUCAUCUAUAGGAUGGAACACAGGGCACCCAAUGAAGAAGCUAGAGAAAGCACCCAAGGAACUGAAGGGGUCUGCAAACCUAUAGGUGGAACAACAAUAUGAACUAACCAGUAACCUCAGAGCUCUUGUCUCUAGCUGCAUAUGUAGCAGAAGAUGGCCUAGUCGGCCAUCAUUGGGAAGAGAGGCCCCUUGGUAUUGCAAACUUUAUAUGCCCCAGUACAGGGGAACGCCAGGGCCAAGAAAUGGGAGUGGGUGGGUAGGGGAGCAGGACUGGCGGGGGAGGAUAUAGGGAACUUUUGGGAUAGCAUUUGAAAUGU
rnacentral:lncRNA from 1 species